UAGUCCACGCCGUAAACGAUGGUCACUAGCUGUUCGAACUUCGGUUUGAGUGGCUAAGCGAAAGUGAUAAGUGACCCACCUGGGGAGUACGUUCGCAAGAAUGAAACUCAAAGGAAUUGACGGGGGCCCGCACAAGCGGUGGAGCAUGUGGUUUAAUUCGAUGAUACGCGAGGAACCUUACCAGGGCUUAAAUGUAAGUUGCAUGAUCUAGAGAUAGACUUUCUUCGGACUACUUACAAGGUGCUGCAUGGUUGUCGUCAGCUCGUGCCGUGAGGUGUCAGGUUAAGUCCUAUAACGAGCGCAACCCCUGUUGUUAGUUGCCAGCACGUCAAGGUGGGAACUCUAGCAAGACUGCCGGUGCAAACCGUGAGGAAGGUGGGGAUGACGUCAAAUCAUCACGGCCCUUACGUCCCUGGGCCACACACGUGCUACAAUGGUAGGUACAGAGGGCAGCCACAACGCGAGUUGGAGCGAAUCCUAAAAACCUAUACUCAGUUCGGAUCGGAGUCUGCAA
rnacentral:rRNA from 1 species